CAAAGAUUUAUUUUAUUGUUUUGAAGUUUUCAAACAAACUAGUCUUUGACAGUGGUAUCGUGGGCCAGUCCCGAUCGCUCAACAGGUUCUCGGAGGAUUCUGGGAGAUUUCUGCUAGCGUUGUAAACAACAACACUUGAAUUUCCAUCCCAGUGGAUUUGGCGACAGACAACCAUGUAUAGAAGCCGACAUUGAAGCCAAUGACCACACCAAGACCAACAACUAUGAUGAGUAAGAAAGCUGUUUACGGAAGCAGGCAACAUCACCAAAGCAAUGUCGGAAGUGGACACCAACACGGCUGAGGCGAACAACAACUGGUUUGCCUGACAGGACCAGGAUGAAGAAGCUGAGCGAUAUGACAAGGGGGAUUGGACAACUUGAGACCUGCCACGUCAGGCAGCUGAUCAACUUAGUCAACGUUCUUAAUUGCGUCCAUCUUGGACAGGACGAACGAUUAUGGAGCCUGUUGCCAUAGUGAUAUUUUUCGCUCAUCAUGUCGAUAUAGCAUCGUGAUAGCUAAUCAUGGAGUCCAUACAGCGGAUUAUUGGUCUGAGCAAACAUUCUGAUGUAAUUCCUCAGUUUAAAAUUAACACUGUUAUCAUUACAGUCAGCAUAUUAUAGGUACAUGUAUGUGGAAGAUUUUACACCGAUUGAGCAAAACAUUUUGUAGAUGUUAGAAGAUUAUUGACUUAUAUUUAAUGGAAGGGUUGUAAUGACAUACUGUUCAUAUAAUGUGUUCAUUGCAACAUUAACUACAAACUAAAUUAAACUCAUAUAUAUAUAUAUAUAUAUAUAUAUAUAUAUAUAUAUAUAUAUAUAUAUAUAUAUA